UGCUGUGUGGUUUAAGGAUACU
rnacentral:miRNA from 1 species